rnacentral:rRNA from 1 species
CCUGGCGGCACUAGCGCGGUGGUCCCACCUGACCCCAUGCCGAACUCAGAAGUGAAACGCCGUAGCGCCGAUGGUAGUGUGGGGUCCCCCCAUGCGAGAGUAGGGAACUGCCAGGC